rnacentral:rRNA from 1 species
UACAGAGGUCUCAAGCGUUGUUCGGAUUCAUUGGGCGUAAAGGGUGCGUAGGUGGCGCUGUAAGUCGGGUGUGAAAUUUCGGAGCUUAACUCCGAAACUGCAUUCGAUACUGCGGUGCUCGAGGACUGGAGAGGAGACUGGAAUUCAUGGUGUAGCAGUGAAAUGCGUAGAGAUCAUGAGGAAGACCAGUGGCGAAGGCGGGUCUCUGGACAGUUCCUGACACUGAGGCACGAAGGCCAGGGGAGCAAACGGGG